rnacentral:rRNA from 1 species
GAGCUAAUACCGCAUAAUGCAUCGGCUACCACAUGGUGACAGUUGUUAAAGCAUUUAUGCGCCUGAAGAGGAGCCUGCGGCAGAUUANCUAGUUGGUAAGGUAAUGGCUUACCAAGGCUACGAUCUGUUAACCGGCCUGAANAGGGCGGACGGAUCACACUGACACUGAAUAACGGGUCAAACUCCUACGGGAGGCAGCAGUCGGGAAUUUUUGGGCAAUGGGCUAAAGCCUGACCCUGCAACACCGCGUGAAGGAUGAAAUCUUUCGGGAUGUAAACUUCGGAAGAAUAGGAAGAAUACUGACGGUACUAUUUUUAAGGUCCGGCUAACUACGUGCCAGCAG